AGCAUAUUAUUCUAUUUUUUUUUAAGUUUUGUUUUGUAUACGUCAUACCUUGUACUUAUUGUAAAAUUCAAUCUACAACCUUGGGUUGUUUUCGUAAAUUAUAAAUGAGUACGUACACCUAUUUCCAACUUGAUUUUCCGCUGAAAACCUUUUAUAUUAAAUAUAGAACCACUAGACUUUAAACAUUUUAGAUUCUUUCAACUGCAAUCAAGUAAGAAUCUUAAAAUAUAUAAAUCCACUGUCCUGAUGUUUGUUUCCAGUGAACUCCUUAACUACUGAACAGAUUUUAAUGGGAUUACUUCAUGGAGUGCAGUUUAGUCCAACUUGGGAGGUAGGAUAGUUUCCUUUUUGAUUUGGGACCCAUAAUUAUUUUUAUUUCCAAUAUUUAAUUUAUGGACAUUUUUCUAUGAGAGAAUUUAUUGACGCACGGUUUGACAGUUAUGCUGUGAAAUAAUUUCAUUAUAACAACAGAGAGCUGAUUUUAGGAAAUAAUUCUUGAUUUAAUGAAAUAUUAUUGACAAAUUCAUAAAAAAACAGUAUUUUAUACAGAUCAACGUCUGUCGGGUCAACUAGUUAUCACGGACUAGUAAAAAAAUAAGGACUCUCGUGUCACCUUACAUAACAGUGUAGCAUUAAAACAUGCCGUUAAUACGUGUAAAUACAUAGCCCCACCCACACACAUACACUACUAAAGGCCGAUAGGCGGCCAUUAUGAGAAUUGUCAUCGUCUGUGACAAAUCAGCUUUCGUUUCAAUAAAAUAUUUUAAAAAUGCCGUCGUGCGUUUUGAAUACGUGUAAAAACAAUAACAUAAAAGUAUUUGUGGAUAUAUGAUUAUUUAAGGGAGAAAAAAUUGUGUAACUAUACCCCGUAACCGCACACACACUAGCAUAAAGGUGCCUCACUUGCUAAUACCACGGUGCGGAGUCUUCCUUUUUUUACUAGUCCAUGCUAGUUAUCUAAUAUAUAAAAUUCUCGUGUCAUGGUGUUAAACAUUGACCUCCUCCGAAACGGCUUGAUCGAUUCUCAUGAAAUUUUGAGUGCAUAUUGGGUAGGUCUGGGAAUCGGACAUCUAUUUUUCAUGCCCCUAAAUGUUAAGGGCGAUCCACACGAUUUUUUUUUAAAUUUUGAUUAUGGGUCAGCAUUAAAAAAUACAUACAACUUAAAAUUUUCACCCAUCUACGAUCAACAGUUACUUUUGUAUCGCGAUUUCAAUAUCGGCAAUACAACGUUUGCUGUGUCAACUAGUAUUAUAUAUUUCUAAAGGCUUUCGUUUUCUUUUUAUCUUAAACUGAAUGUAUAUACUUCUUAGCAUGUAUAAAAUAAGUAAGCCAUUGUAAAUUUCCUUUCAUUUAUUUUUCUGUUUCACUAUCAUCAAACACGAUUGUCUAAUAAAUAAAAUAAAACUGAUACUAUAAUGAAAAGUAACAGCUUGCCGCAGCUACUCUGUAUUCAGGUGCGUUAUGAACAACAAAUAUCAUAUUAUGUUACUGAACGACGACUUUGGAUAUAUAAUACAAAAAUAUGUCUGAUACUUUAACUUGUAACCCUUAAAUUAAGGAUUGGACUCCGCUGCGCUCCGACUAGAUACCGCAGGCGUAUUCACAAAGUGGAACUAUUGCUCUUAUUAUACUUUUGACAGCUAAAACCAUACAAGUGAACUAUCAGAUGAUAUAAUUGUUAAAACUUAGAUUAAAAAUUGGUCUCCGCUGCGCUCCAACUAGAUACCGCACUACCUAAGAACAAUAGCUUUAUAUUACAAUGGCAACUUUAUACUGUAGUGUGUAUUGGCAAUUUGUAAUGAUGCUUGUGUGCGUGGCAUUUUGACACUCAAUGGCAUCUUUGAAAUUUUGUAACUUAUAUACACUUCGUGUUAUUUUACAUUGAAAUUAAUAAAAUACAAAAUACUUACUGAUGAUAUGUGAUCCCCAGUGUCAUUCAUACUUCUUGUAGUAUUAUUUUUACAAAGUUUUACUACGGAACCCCUCAUUUUAGUUUCAAUUAUUAGCAAAGUUUAACAGAACAUGUGACACGUCAACGUCACACAUUGUUCGAGACUGGCUCGAAUUCGCCCACUUGGGCGACCACGCCUGCUGUAUCUAGUUGGAGCGCAGUGGAGACCUAUCCUUAAUGUAAGGCUCGCAUUUUAAUUUUACUUUUAUUUUCAUAUCGCGUCCAGCCGGCCAUACAAAUAUUAUGCGUUACUAACCUUCCGCAGAGCGGGACUUCUAAUCUAGGCAUUUAAUUACUGGCUAAAAUCGACGUAUGACCACUGUAUGUUUGUACUAGACGAAGUAAUUAUUGUCGUAAAUAGAAAUGCAUUAAUAAUUAUCUUUAAUUUUAUAUUUACAAUUAUAAUAAUCCAUGCAAAAUGGGACCAAAUUUUAAUCACUUUGCCAGUCACAAAUCCAUUUCCAUUUUCACAGAUAAUAAUUAAUUAGUAAGUGUAAUCGCGUAUAUGCAGUUUUAUUAUGGUGAACAAAACAUAAUAAGUAAUUUCUAAAGCCUGCUUGGUUCUUAGCUUACCGAAUCUUUCUCCUAUCCUGGAACCAAUUUUACAGUUUUAAUAGUACUUCAUACUAAAGCAGGGUAAAUUUUUUGCCUGACAUAAUUAUAUGUAGAUAAGUGUGUGUAACUAUAAGUAUAAUAUAGCCGCCUUUUCACGGUAAUUCGAGAUGUGGAUAUAAAAAUAAGUGUGUAUGAGAAGGCUUGGUUUUUGCCUUAAAUCUUCAAAUAAACCUUACCUGUUGGGACCUAGCUCUGCCUAAAUUGCUUUUUAAUGUAACAAUAUUUAUUAAAGACUCGAAGUAUUCUAGCUAUUUUUAUUAAGUAUUAUAUAUUAAACUAAGCACAAAACAAAUACCUACAUAAGUACUUUGUUUUUACCACGGGUCAGUUAUUCUAUAGUCUAUUAUACCUUUACACGUAGCGUAAGUUCAGCCUUACAUAAACACCAAUUUACACAAUAAUUUAUUUAAAUUAAAAUAAAUAAAAUGCAACACCGUACAAUAUUGUAUUUACAAUUUAAUCAUAAAUUAGUAUUCAAAAUAAGCGGAAACAGUACUUCGCAAAAGGAACAAUGUAAUUAAUCUAUGUUAGCGUUGAUACUUGCCCCCUUAUUCAUAAUAGUCUGUUAACUUAAAGCAUUGCUGAUUCACAUUCUGUCUUCUUCUAUUGACCUAAGUCAGAAUGAGAAAAAACACUCCUUAGCGGCUGUUUUAAGUUAGCGGACCAUUAUGAAUAAGGGGGUUUAUAUUUACGUGUGCUUGUAUCUCAGUGAAUGUAGUUUGAAUUCAUUAAAGUAGAUACUAUACUAGCUGCUAAGGCAUCUAGCACGCGGGGUUGCUAUAAAAAAGGAUCUUAAUGCGGGUUGCAGACCGAAAUCGCUAUAUCAAUGCUAAACUAAGCAAGCUAGGCUAAACUAAACUAAGCUAAGCUAGAAAUAAAACAGCACACCAAGAGCUAAACCAAAACUUAGUCACAAAAAUCACCUUUCCAUACAACAUCCUUUUUGAUUAAGUUGUGAUAGUCUUUUUAUUGUGUUCUCAGGAGGAAAUUAUUUUAACAUUUUCAAUAAAUUGCUCCAUAUUCGCUACAAAACAACCGUGGGAGUAGUUUCUCCCACUGGUAAACUGUUGUUUUUGUGGAGGCUCCUAUGCACAGGAUGCCGGCUAGAUUAUGGGUACCACAACGGCGCCUAUUUCUAACGUGAAGCAGUAAUAUGUAAGCAUUACUGUGUUUCGGUGUGAAGGGCGCCGUAGCUAGUGAAAUUACAGGGCAAAUGAUACUUAACAUAUCAUGUCUCAAGGUGACGAGCGCGGUUGUAGCGCCGCUCAGAAUAUUUGGGGUUUUUCAAGAAUCCUGAGCGGCACUGCAUUGUAAUGGGCAGGGCGUAUCAAUUACCAUCAGCUGAACGUCCUGCUAGUCUAGUCCCUUAUUUUCAUAAAAAAAAACCGUGCGAACGACAAAGGACACUGGACAGGACUAGCGAAAGAUGUUCGUAGGGCGUGCGGGGAGAGCGGGAAGGGCUUAGCUAUGCUCAUGCCGCUGCGCAUCGGUAUACACAACUAACUUAGCUUCGCAUUUUUUAGCUAGCUCACUUAUCUUAGUUCGCAUAGUUUGCGGUCUGCACUAACUAACUUAACUUAAGCUCUUCGUCUGCAACCCGCAUAAAUUACGGUUUGUAAGCGAUUGCCGUGAGCGAGUGCACGAUAUCGGCAAUAGGUAUGUAUUCCUCUUAUGUGACUGCGCGUGCAAGGGACUUUGGCGGGACAUAGGGGUACCUUAAAUUUAAACAUUCUUAUUAUUUAAAAACACUUAUUUAAUGUAAUACUUAUUAUACAUCGAUUUAACUGUAUUUUGCCUCACACGAUAGAGUGGCUCCUAAUAUUUUGUAAUAUAAAAGCGUACCUACCCUCAUAUCAUCACGUACAGAUAAGAAAUAAUAUCUACUAAUGAAAUAACGUGAUUUCUAAGAUUUUAAUGAAAUUGCGUAACAUUUCUCAUUUGGUGCCCCUAUUGAAAUAUUUCACCAUGUUCAAAUUUGAAAAUGUACAUUAUUUUUGGCAAUAGUAGAUUGAUAAUGUAAUUUAUAACUCGAAUAAUAUAGAUAAUUAGCAGUUACGUAGAAUAAAAUAAACGAACAAGCUUGCAUGUAUUGUAAUUUUAAAGAGUUCUAAUUGUCACGUAAGAUAGGUUCACUUUAGAAUUUUAUAUUUAUUAGAUAUAACUUAAGAUAGUUUAAAGUACUGUAGAUACCAAGUAACUGCAGUUAUUUCGUAACGGUAAUUCUAUCUGCGUUAUUGGAGGUAAAAAUCUCAAUCCAAGUCGGUAUCGUAUCUGGUAACCAUGAUAAUAAUCACAGACCAAGUAAGAUAAAAUAGUUCCUUCUAAGAACUCAUGUUUCAAAAAUAAUUUCUUAUACCUACAUAGUAUUGCUUUUAAGAAUAUACCCGUCGCUUUAAGGCCGAGAGAUAAUCAAUAGAGCGUACUAAGACUUUGCUCAGACUUUACUUACGUAAGACUCAGCUGUUUGUAAGCUUAAUAUUAUAAUCUUUGAUUUUGUUUUUAGUGCCAGGCCUGCUGUGUAAAGUGUUUUUUUGUGAACUUUUCUCCAAUCAGUGCACAGGCGUGGAAUACCCGGAACAAUUGGGCUUCAUCGUACGUGAGUCCCUCAAUUUUCCUGAUAUAAUCAAACCCAUUUUCAUUCUCCUGGCAGUGCGCGGACAACUAUAUUCCAAUGUGUAUAAUUUUUGUAUGAAAUACAAAAGGGUUUUGAGAUUAGAAGCGAAAAGUGGUGAUCUUGAUUUAACAGCUAAAAUUAUGCUAGCCUUAAGCUAAUAAGAUUUUUUUAUUUAUUGUUCAAAUAAUACAAGAAACAAACUACUCAACAAUUUAAGCCAUCCUCAUGAAACUUAAGUGUUUAUGUGAGGAAUAGCGAGUUCACUUAUUCUCAACUUAAAAUAUUUUAAUAACAUGACUGAAUUAAAUAGCAACGGAGACAAAGCAACAUAAAAACAAUAGAAAUAAUGAGUAAAUGAGACACCCAGGCUAUGCUCAUUAGUAAUAGACAUAUCCUAGAGACAUACUCUAUGGUCAUGAUCAGCGGUGCUCAUUACCAAGGAAUAUCUCUUACAUCACCCUAAAAACAAUGAUUUUGUAUUACUGGUAUCUUUAAUAGAAUAUGGCAAGUCAUUUACGAUUUUGGGCAAUAUAUAAUUCCAUUUUCUUUUCCCAUAUAUGUUAUUUGUUUUUGGCAACUCAAAGCUAUAAUAGGUAGCCAAUUUACGUAAAUUGGCGUUACGCACCCUACCUUUUAAUCCCUUCAUGUUAAGAUAUUCUUCCUUAAGGAUUGCUAAUUUUACUUUACCCUGUACUGGCAGUAUUUUACAAUAUUUAAGCAAUUCGACUAUUAUUUGCUAAGACAGCCCAAGUCUAGUUCGCAUUUUAUCACACUCAGCUAAGUUUUAGGUAAGUAAAGUCUGAGCAAAGACUAAGUACAUUAUAGAUCUCAGCUAUUCCUACGUACCCAAAGUUCAAUAUAUUUAUAUCUGUAUCAUUGAAUUUGUCUAUCAAGUUGUUUGAGCAUCAAUAUAAAAAGCCUUUUAAAAGAUUUAAGCGUUAUUGGGUGGAAAAUAUUUGCACGAAUUGUGAUCGAAACAACAGAUUUGUUGACAAACAACACGCCGCACCCUAUUCCCUGCGGGUUAUUUAUGGAAUGACGUAGGCAAGUUCUUUAGUGAAACAACCUUAGUGUAACUUUCGUACAAACCUGACUAUUAAAAUGAUAUUAUAUUUAUAGUUAGGGACAUAGCAAAUGUUUUUAAUUAUUUCAUGCACAAUACUUCUCUUUUUAUCGCCACAAAAAAUGUGUAAAUAUAUUAUAGAUAAUAUUGUAAAUUUAUGCCAUCACGUGGAAUGGACUGAAACCGUUUAAAAUUUCGUGUUGUUUAUGGGAAUCCUUGAUUACGUUCUAAAAGAAAUAAAUCUCGAUGUAAAUUUUAUUUAAAUAGAUUAUAAUUGUCGACUGCUUGGGUACAUUGUGUUGGUUCUAUGAGAAGUUUAAUUUUGUUUAUUGUUAUAAAGUUUAAAAUAUAUUACAUAUUGAUUCAUA